AAAAAUAAACUUAAAAAUAAAACAUUGUUAAAAAUGUAAAAAUAAAAAAAAAAUAAAUAAAUAAAUGAAAUAAAAAAUAACUUCAACUGGAAUUUAAAAACGCGUUUUGCUGCUCUCCAACACAAAAGACAGGAACUGCAGUUAUUUCAUGAUGGUUACGGCUGUCAGUUGUGCCAACAACACAACAUUAAACUUAAAAAUAAAACAUUGUUAAAAAUGUAAAAAUGUAAAA